CCAAAGGCCCUUUUCAGGGCCACAACCUUUUCACUUCAAGGAGCUG
rfam:Rattus norvegicus chromosome 17, whole genome shotgun sequence.